AUUGAACGCUGGCGGCAUGCUUUACACAUGCAAGUCGAACGGUAACAGGCCUUCGGGUGCUGACGAGUGGCGCACGGGUGCGUAAUGCAUCGGAACGUACCCAGAGGUGGGGGAUAACGCAGCGAAAGCUGUGCUAAUACCGCAUGUGAUCUGAGGAUGAAAGCGGGGGACCGAGCAGCAAUGUUUGGCCUCGCGCCUUUGGAGCGGCCGAUGUCGGAUUAGCUAGUUGGUGGGGUAAAGGCCUACCAAGGCGACGAUCCGUAGCUGGUCUGAGAGGACGAACAGCCACACUGGGACUGAGACACGGCCCAGACUCCUACGGGAGGCAGCAGUGGGGAAUUUUGGACAAUGGGCGCAAGCCUGAUCCAGCAAUGCCGCGUGCGGGAAGAAGGCCUUCGGGUUGUAAACCGCUUUUGGCAGGAACGAAACGGUGUCCGCUAAUACCGGGCGCUAAUGACGGUACCUGCAGAAUAAGCACCGGCUAACUACGUG
rnacentral:rRNA from 1 species